CAGUAGCCGCGGUAAUACAGAGGGUGCAAGCGUUAAUCGGAAUUACUGGGCGUAAAGCGCGCGUAGGUGGUUUGUUAAGUUGGAUGUGAAAGCCCCGGGCUCAACCUGGGAACUGCAUCCAAAACUGGCAAGCUAGAGUACGGUAGAGGGUGGUGGAAUUUCCUGUGUAGCGGUGAAAUGCGUAGAUAUAGGAAGGAACACCAGUGGCGAAGGCGACCACCUGGACUGAUACUGACACUGAGGUGCGAAAGCGUGGGGAGCAAACAGGAUUAGAUACCCCGGUAGUCCCUGUCUCUUAUAA
rnacentral:rRNA from 1 species